AUUCGAUGCAAAGCGAAGAACCUUACCAGGGAUUGACAUGCCGGAAGUACCGACCUGAAAGGGAAGGGACCCGUAAAAUCGGGGGCCGGCACAGGUGGUGCAUGGUUGUCGUCAGCUCGUGCCGUGAGGUGUUGGGUUAAGUCCCGCAACGAGCGCAACCCUUAUCUUUAGUUGCCAUCGGUCUGGCCGGGCACUCUAAGGAGACUGCCGGCGACGAGCCGGAGGAAGGUGGGGAUGACGUCAAGUCCUCAUGCCCCUUAUGCCCUGGGCUACACACAUGCUACAAUGGCCGGGACAGAAGGUUGCCACUCCGCGAGGAGGCGCUAAUCCCCAAACCCGGUCUCAGUUCGGAUCGCAGGCUGCAACUCGCCUGCGUGAAGCCGGAAUCGCUAGUAACCGCAGGUCAGCCACACUGCGGUGAAUACGUUCCCGGGCCUUGUACACACCGCCCGUCACACCAUGGAAGCUGGUUCCACCCGAAGCCGCUGGCCUAACCCGCAAGGGAGGGAGGCGUCGAAGGUGGGGUUGGUGACUGGGGUGAAGUCGUAACAAGGUAGCCGUACGGGAACGUGCGGCUGGAUCACCUCCUUU
rnacentral:rRNA from 1 species